GAUGAACGCUGGCGGCGUGCCUAAUACAUGCAAGUCGAGCGAACAGACGAGGAGCUUGCUCCUCUGACGUUAGCGGCGGACGGGUGAGUAACACGUGGAUAACCUACCUAUAAGACGGGGAUAACUUCGGGAAACCGGAGCUAAUACCGGAUAAUAUAUUGAACCGCAGGGUUCAAUAGUGAAAGACGGUUUUGCGGUCACGUAUAGAUGGAUCCGCGCCGCAUUAGCUAGUUGGUAAGGUAACGGCUUACCAAGGCAACGAUGCGUAGCCGACCUGAGAGGGUGAUCGGCGACACUGGAACGGGGACACGGACCAGACUCCUACGGGAGGCAGCAGUAGGGAAUGUGACGCAAUGGGCGAAAGCAUGACGGAGUAACGCCGCGUGAGUGAUGAAGGUCUUCGGAGCGUAAAACUCUGUUAUUAGGGAAGAACAGAUGUGGACGGAACUAUGCACGUCGUGACGGUACCUAAUCAGAAAGCCACGGCUAACUACGUG
rnacentral:rRNA from 1 species